GCGGAGGUAGUCAAGCGGUCAAAGGCGAUAGGUUGAGGGCCUAUUGAGGUAGCUCUUCGUGGGUUCGAGUCCCACCUUCCGCA
rnacentral:tRNA from 1 species